GAUGAACGCUGGCGGCGUGCUUAACACAUGCAAGUCGAACGAAUCUUGAGGAGCUUGCUCCUCUUGGUUAGUGGCGGACGGGUGAGUAACGCGUGGGUAACCUGCCCUAUGCAGGGGGAUAACGUUUGGAAACGAACGCUAAUACCGCAUAAACUAUGAAAGUCGCAUGACUUUAAUAGCAAAG
rnacentral:rRNA from 1 species